UCACCCUCAUAGACAAAACAUAACUAAAAAGAAAAAGUCUUAUACAUAGCAAAAGAUCAUAAGCAACGUCCCCGGAAUGGAGGACUCACCAAUAACCUUGAUAGAAAAUCGUAUUAGCCACGCGGAGGACGAGGGUCAAGCGGUGCUCCGGUCCCUACAUGGUGACAUCAUGUAGGCAUAGAGUAUGCGUUAGUACAUUUGAAUGUACUAAGUAUAUGGGAUGCAAUGCAAUGCAACAAGGGAUGGACAUCAUAGGCAAAAUGCAUAAUCGUACCCGAUAGAUAGCAUAUUAAUGAGAUGAUAUGUAUAAUGAUGCUUACAUAAAAAUCAUAUUUAGUGGGACGUAGUACAUGUGUGGUGAGUGACAAUCAAUAUAAUACUUUCCAAGGCCUACCAUCCCCUUGGAGAGGCGAAAGAGGUACAAACCCCUCAAUGAGGUUACCCGGGCCUACCACCCCCCGAGCUAGGGACCAAGGUACAAACCCCUCGAUAUGGUUAUACGGGCCUACUACCCCCCGUACUAGGCAACCAAGGUACCAACCCCUCGAUACGGUUACCCGGGCCUACAACCCCCCGAGCUAGGCUUGGUCGACUCACACACUAUAUAGAGAAAAUCAUAUACAUGUGUCCAUUUCAUCAUCAUUUCAAUAAUUAUAUAACCAUUCGAUUCAUAAGACGUACAUUGGACCUUCCAUUUCCUAAGAAUUCUAUAAAUGAGCAUUUUAUCAAACACAUGGUGGGCUACGGUUCAUGUAAAUAAAAUCAUGUAUUUCAAGAGUACUAAGUCCAACCAAUUUCAAAAUCCAUAUAAAACAGCCCACCAACAACAUACAUAUAUAUAUACAUAUAUAACAACCUUCAUAAUUUGAUCAUGGAGGCAUGAAAACCAUAAACAUCAUAUAAUCAUUCCAUUUCAUGAUAAUAUACAAAAAUAGACCAUAAUAGGAUGUGUAGUAAUAAUUCCAUAAUUCAAGAGUUCAUAAAUGAUCAUAAGGACCCAUAAACUUGAAGUAAAAUAGAGGAUAAAUGGUUGGACUUGUGGAAAGGAAGGUUUCCACAAUCAACCCACAUACCUCAACUUUGGAGAAUUCUUGAUGAAGAUUGGAAUGGAGAAUUGCUUGAGAUUGAAUCUUGAAUCCGGAAUUAAAGCUUGGGAUCCUUGAAUUUGGUUGAUGAUCUUGGUGGAAUUUUUGGAGAGGGUUUAGAGAGAGUUUUUGGAUGUUUUGAAGUUAAAUGACUAAGUAUUUUUUGAGGCGGGUGAACAGUAAUUUUAGAUUCUGGAAAUUGCAUUUCCGUCUGGACAGACUUUACGAAAAUGGGCAUAACUUCUUCGUCCGAACUCCGAAUGAGGCGAAACAAAUUGCGUUGGAAAGCUAACUCACAGAGCUUUAAUUUUGAUAGUUUGAGCUCCUUCCAGUUCCUUGUGU
rnacentral:lncRNA from 1 species